GUUUUAUUCAAGUUUCCUUGUCAUCUCCUUUUUCUUCCAGGCCCCUGAAAAGUAAACAAAAGGAUUUUAUAACUAUUUCUAAAGUUAAAUAACCCUAAAGCCAUUAUUGGUCAAAGCCAUUGGCAAUAGCAAUACAGUACAUGACUGUUAAAAUACCUUAUCUUACCUAUGUCAUAUAUACAAGACCAGACUCAGCGCAAUCUUCUAGCCUCUCUCUCAGACUCCAACAGAGUUAGGAUAUCACCCUCACGCACUGGGCCC